AACCUCUGCCUCCCCGAUUCAAGCAAUUCUCCUGUCUCAGCCUCCAGAGUAGCUGGGGCUACAGGCACAUGCCACUACUCCUGGCUUAUUUUUGUAUGUUUUUUAGUAGAGAUGGGGUUUCACCAUAUUGGUCAGGCUGGUCUCAAACUCCUGACCUCAGGUGAUCCACACGCCUUGGCUUCCCAAAGUGCUGAGAUUACAGGCGUAAGUCACUGCGCCCAGCCUCUCCUCAUUUCUGUCUGCUGACUCCUCUUCCUGUUCUGCUGCUCACAUCCCCAGGUUGAUGUUUUCACUCUCGGGGUUCUGCCUUAUCCCUUGCCACCUUCCUGUGCCACCGGGGUCCCUCAGAAGGAUGUGCCUGGACUUCCCACACCCUCCUUCGCUGCCCCUCACUGUGUUGCCUGGUGUCUGCCAGGAGAGAUGCUGUUUGAGCCAUUGGCUGAUUUCUCUUACUGCUUUGCAAACUAUCAGUUUUAAAUGUGGGUGGGGCUGAAGCACCAUUCUCCAUUUUUAAUGUGGAUUUUCCAUCUCCCUUUAAACAUUAAACUUUUAGAUUCUUCUAGCGAAAUACAGAAAACACACCUGAACUGGGAUGAUUCUUGCCUAAGAGAUGUCCCACUGUGUUUGGCAAACCCACAGCGGGUCCCACGAGCCCAUGUCUGGAACUGCCUGGCCCUGCUUUACCAGUUUAUCAGACUUCCACUUCUGCUGAGGUUAGAAAGAGCCAGAGGCUCUGAUACAAUAAAAAUGAGCUCUGAAGAGGGGCUCUCUCCCUCUUGUAUUCAGAAGAACUGAAAGUUUUAAUAAGUCUCUAGAGAAGCAUGACAACUAUCUGUAGCAUUUUUCUUUGGGAAUUAACCUUUGCCCGUAAUUAUUUAUAUUCAGUAGAAUAACCAUGGGUUUCUCUAUUCCAGUUUCUAGAAUAUAAUUUUCAUAAAUGAGGGUGGUCUCCUAUUUUGAGCUUAAUAUUUUUCUGUUGCUAGAAAGAAUGGUACUGCCUCACUCCAGUUCCUUAAGUUUGUGAUCAUGGCUUGAAAUCUCUGCUUUCGGUUACAUUCCUCUGAAUAAUAGUCAUGUAUAAUGGCCUCAGGCAUGAUUUAGAAGGCACAGACUGAGCAGGCCGCUUUGUGAGGUGGUGAACUCCCCAUUCCUGAAAGCAUUCAAUCAAUCAAGAUGAAUAGUUACUUGUAACAGAUGCUGUAGUUCUGGUCCUUGAAUUACCAGGAGUUGGAAUAAAAUGAUCUCAGAGACUCUGUCCAUUCUAAGAUACCAUGUUUCCAUGACCCUACACAGAAUAGCUACACAGGUGGAGGAACAUGAGUCAGAGAAGCUUUGCACAAAAGAAGAUUGUUUUCCACAAAUGAAAAUGGGGUGAUUAACUUCUAAUUGCACCCUGUCUUAGUUUUCAGAUGCAUUGGUUCCUUCCCCAUGUGACCAUCUCUUUAUAUCAAGCUUAUGCUGAAUGUGGAUUAUUUUUAAUGUAAUGUUCACAUUGUAAAAGCAAUGAAACAGCAAACAAAGUAGAGCAAAAUAUCAAAAAUCUAAUGACUUUAUCAUAAAAAUUAUCAGCUUGAUACAGUCCUGUUCACUUUAAUAUAAACAUUUGUGGUUAAUUAUAGUGUUAUAUCUUUUUAGUUGAAACAUUCAAGUGUUUUUUUCAUGUUGCCACACAGUCUUUGGGAUUAAUAUGCAUGUAGCUGUCUUUGUCGAACAUUUAUGGGAUGUCCAUUUUUCCAAAGCUUAAAUUAUAAAUCAUACUGCAGCAAAUACCUUCUCUUCCAAUAUUCCGAAUUAUUUCUUAAGAUUAGAGACAUUAAGUACAAGUACCAGGUCAAAAACUAGAAGCAUUUUAACAGAUUCUGUUAGGGCUACAUUGCAUUCAAUAGACUGUGGCUGUACUAAUAUAUAGUUUCACACCAAAUUCACCUCACCUUGACCAGCAAGGGAUAUUUUCAUUUUAAAAUUGCUUGGUAACUUUUUUGGUUUAUGUUUCUCUUCAAACAAACAAGAUUGUAUUUUUUAAAGUGGUUCAUCAUUUGAAAAGAAUCUGUAGUGUUCUUUGCCCUUUUAUCUUGUGAGAUGUUAAUGUUUUCUUUGUCCAGUUGUGUGAAAUAUAUGUGUGAAUUUAUUUUUCCAAAUAAAAUAAAGACAUUAACCUUCUAUUUUACUGACAAC
ensembl:lncRNA